rnacentral:rRNA from 1 species
UACGGAGGAUGCAAGCGUUAUCCGGAUUUAUUGGGUUUAAAGGGUGCGCAGGCGGCGCGUUAAGUCAGCGGUGAAAUGUCCGGGCUCAACCUGGGCAGUGCCGUUGAUACUGGCGUGCUAGAGUACAGACGGCGCCGGCGGAAUGUGUCAUGUAGCGGUGAAAUGCUUAGAUAUGCCACAGAACACCGAUCGCGAAGGCAGCUGGCGAGGCUGGGACUGACGCUCAGGCACGAAAGCGUGGGGAU